rnacentral:rRNA from 1 species
AGUGAACGCUGGCGGUAGGCCUAACACAUGCAAGUCGAACGGCAGCACAGUAAUAGCUUGCUCUUACGGGUGGCGAGUGGCGGACGGGUGAGGAAUACAUCGGAAUCUACUUUUUCGUGGGGGAUAACGUAGGGAAACUUACGCUAAUACCGCAUACGACCUACGGGUGAAAGCAGGUGAUCUUCGGACCUUGCGCGUUUGAAUGAGCCGAUGUCGGAUUAGCUAGUUGGCGGGGUAAAGGCCCACCAAGGCGACGAUCCGUAGCUGGUCUGAGAGGAUGAUAAGCCACGCUGGAACUGAGACACGGUACAGACUCCUACGGGAGGCAGCAGUGGGGAAUAGUAGACAAUGGGAGGAAGCCUGAUCCAGCCAUGCCGCGUGGGUGAAGAAGGCAUUCGGGUUGUAAAGGCAUUUUGUUGGGAAAGAAAAGCAGAAGGUUAAUACCCCGCUGUGCUGACGGUACCAAAAGAAUAAGCACCGGCUAACUUCGUG